ACAGCCACUUAGCCCCAAAUGAAAUUAACAAAACAAGAAAAAUCCCUAAUUGUGUAUUACAAGUUUAAUUCUCUAGUCUCUACCAGUUGGCUUCUCUGGAUCUCACUCAAACUCAGCCUCUCAAUUGUUUUCCUCUCACGCUCACUCGCUCAAUCUAUUCUCUCUCACACUCAGCCCCCUCGAUCCGUUCGCUCACUCAGCCUCUGCAAGAACUCAGCCUCUACAAGAACUCAGAUCUCGUCUUUCUCUCCAUAACGUCGAGCUUCUCUCCUUCACACUCAGCCUCGGCAAGAACCAGGCGACCCCGCCGAUGCAAGAACCAGGCCACCAUGGGGCAAACUAGGCAGACCUCCAAUUGUUUAUGAGAUUCUUCUACCGCAAUGCUUAUAGAUGGUUUCCUGCAUAUGGGUUAGUUAAUAUCUUGUUCUGAAGGAGGUAUAUGACAGUGUUAAUAAAUUGAUGAAAGAACUCUGUUUUUUUUUUAUUUAUUCAAGUGCUAUUCAUAAAUUGUUUCAAUUAUUUUUUUAGUCUCUCAAUUAAAAAUCAGCAAGUAUGUACACAUAUUACUAUAAUAAGUGUCACCUAGUACUUUGUAUCAUUAGGGCCAAUGAAAACAGAUCAGGAUCACAAUUCAUUUAUUGGAAUCAAAUCAUUGAUUGAGCCUACUCUUCGUGAACUACAAUCAAAGAUGAGAGAAGCUGAGAAUGAUCCCCAUGAUGGCAAGAGAAAGUGUGAGGCUUUGUGGCCUAUAUUCAGAAUAGCACAUCAGAAGAGCCGUUACAUUUUUGACCUUUACCAUCAGCGAAAGGAAAUAUCUAAGGAGCUGUUUGAGUUCUGUCUAGACUAAGCCUGGUUAUGAACGCCUCUGCUGCUUGAGGUGCAUGCAGCCCCGAGAUCAUAACUUUGCUACCACAUGUGUGUGUUGAGUGCCGAAACAUCUGAGAGAGGAGAAGGUUAUAGAGUGUGUACAUUGUGGUUGUAGGGGCUGCACUAGUGGAGACUGAUUGGCUUCCACUUCUUCUAAGUGUUAACUAUAUAUGCUAGGAUAGUCUAUUAUGGUUAAAUAACUGAAAACUGAAUCUGUAUUGCUAAUGCAACAUCAUCAUGCUUCAUACUCAUUGAAUGGUGCCAAUGACAGUGAGAAAACAAAGGCGUUGUUGACAAGUACUGCACAUGUUCAUUUGAAGUACUCAGAAAUCAUCUUCAACUACCUCAGAAAGUGUACAACUUAUAUGUUAUGGUAGAAUUUCUUGUAUUUUUUGAUGUGUUUAAAGUCUACUCCUUAAAAGAAUCAAUGUUCCUAGCCAGAAUAAGAAACACUAUCUUGUUUUAUGUAACUACAAUGCUCUCUCCUCCAUUUAUAUUAGAAAAGCUAUAGAGAAUUAAAUUGGAGGAUUUCUUAGAGUAAAGCUUCUGGAUACACACUGCAUCUGCAUGGAUUGUUUGUUUGUCUAGAAAAUGCAAAAAGGUGAAAGCUUUGUAAUAAGCUUGAUUUUGAAUUUUUUUUUUUUGGAAAUUUCAGAUGGAUUUCAAGUCUGGGCUUUUUUACGUUUGAUGGUAUUUAUUAGUUCUGACUGAAAGUUGUAUUGAUUAAAACUUGUAUAAGCGUUUGAUAUUUGACAUUUGGUGUUUGGUGUUUUGGUUUGUGAAUUGAAAGCAUGUAUCUGUUUUGGUGUUUGGUAUUUUCGGUGCUUGAUGAUCUGCAUUUUUAAUGGAUAUAAGUGGAUGACCAAUCUGAACUUUGAAAUCACUUUUUUGGUUAUAAAAAGCUAUGAUUCCUCUCUUUCCCUUAUUAAUUUAAGCAAGAACUUCUGAUAUGUUUCAACUACUUCAUUGAUGAUUGCCCUUUUUUAUUUAUUUGGGCAAAAGAUAACUAGCUUUUUAGUUUGCACUUUUGUUGUGUUAGUUGAUUAUGUCUCAUUAAUUAUGUACUGCAUACUCAAUGUCAAAACAUAUUUUGAAAUAUAUUAGCAAAUUCACAAGUUAUGGUUAUCAAACUAAGCUACUACACAUCGAUAUUGUAUAUGUAUACAUCAUUUUUAUCAUUUGGUUUAACUUGAGUUUUUUUUAAUCAUUUUUCUUAUUAUUGAAUUUUGUCCUUGUAGCUUGAUUUUUUUUUUCUCCCUAUGCAAUAUAAUAGUAUUGAAUUUGAUUAAGAAAAACAACAUAAUAUUCAACGCUGUAAAUUUUUGUCUUAUUAAUGAUAUAUACGAAGAUAGAAUUUGAUAAAAUAAAAUUGUUAUAAGUUUCUCAAUGAGACAUUAUCUUUUGUUGGGUGGAUUAAUUUGGUUUUUGAAUUAAUUUUUCUCAUAUAUAUAUAUAGAAAAAAAUUAUAUCAUAUUCUACUAUACUUCUCAAACAUGACUUAAAAGUAUUGGUGUUGCUGCAAAUAUGUUCUCGACAACCUAUAUGAUUUACUGGUUCACUUUGUUCAAAACUUUUCUAAUAGAAUUUCUUCAGCAUAUCUGCUUGAUGUUUCACGAUAUAGAUUAGCUGUUAAAAUAUUUGUUUGAAUAGAUGGCAAGAAUUUUUAAGCCAUUUUAAGCACAUUUUUUAUGUGGGUAAGCAAGGAAAGCAUAGAGAUGUCAAGGUUUACUUAAUUCCUAGAAACCAUGACAUUGGCUAUGAAAGUAACCUCAUUCAUAGUCUAGAGGUAAUCAAGCACCUUAAUUCUAUAAAUUGUCGUGCAUUUUCAAACUGUUAUGAUUAUUUUGUUAAUUAUAUUCCUUGUUCUACUUAUAAUCAGGAGUUUGGAAAGAGAAACUAUCGAUUUACAGCAGUAGAAGUAGAAUUUAUUGCCAUUGAUGCCCAAACUUUAGAUGAGUGUAGAUGACUGGAUUCUUUAGUUAACAAUGGUAAAUCAUCCACAUCAUAUCAUCAAAAGAAUCAAGCUUUCUCGUCUUGGAAUUUGUCAAGAAUGUAUCAAUUGGUAUAGAUUGUUGACUUAUGUUUAUUUUGUGUUAUUAAGUUUGUGGUUACAAUAUAAUCUACUCAUU